UUUCGCAAUGCCCGAAAGGGUGACGAUGCGACGCCGCGUGAGCGAAGAAGGCCCUAGGGUUGUAAAGCUCUGUCAGGGGUUAAGAAAUGUAGAUAGGUUAAUACCCUGUUUAUUUGACAAAAGCCCCAAAGGAAGCCACGGCUAACUCUGUGCCAGCAGCCGCGGUAAUACAGAGGUGGCAAGCGUUGUUCGGUAUUAUUGGGCGUAAAGAGCACGUAGGUGGUUUUGUAAGUCAGAUGUGAAAGCCUUCUGUUCAAAGGAAGAACGGCAUCUGAAACUGCUGAUCUUGAGUGUAGGAGGGGAGAGUGGAACUUCUGGUGGAGCGGUGAAAUGCGUAGAUAUCAGAAGGAACGUCGGCGGCGAAAGCGACUCUCUGGCCUAUUACUGACACUGAGUGUGCGAAAGUUAGGGGAGCAAACGGGAUUAGAUACCCCGGUAGUCCUAACCGUAAACGAUGGGCACUAAGUAGAGGGGUUUU
rnacentral:rRNA from 1 species